GAAUGGGUGGCUCAAGGAGUAGGGCACUGGCCCCAUAUACCUGAGGUGGUGGGUUCAAACCCCACCCCCGCCA
rnacentral:tRNA from 1 species